rnacentral:rRNA from 1 species
CCUACGGGCGGCUGCAGUGAGGAAUAUUGGUCAAUGGGCGCAAGCCUGAACCAGCCAUGCCGCGUGCAGGAUGACGGUCCUAUGGAUUGUAAACUGCUUUUGUACGGGAAGAAACACUCAUUCGUGAAUGAGCUUGACGGUACCGUAAGAAUAAGGAUCGGCUAACUCCGUGCCAGCAGCCGCGGUAAUACGGAGGAUCCAAGCGUUAUCCGGAAUCAUUGGGUUUAAAGGGUCCGUAGGCGGCCCUGUAAGUCAGCGGUGAAAUCUCCCGGCUC